rnacentral:rRNA from 1 species
UACGUAGGGUGCAAGCGUUAAUCGGAAUUACUGGGCGUAAAGCGUGCGCAGGCGGUUGUGUAAGUCUGUCGUGAAAUCCCCGGGCUCAACCUGGGAAUUGCGAUGGAGACUGCACGGCUAGAAUCUGGCAGAGGGGGGUAGAAUUCCACGUGUAGCAGUGAAAUGCGUAGAGAUGUGGAGGAACACCGAUGGCGAAGGCAGCCCCCUGGGUCAAGAUUGACGCUCAUGCACGAAAGCGUGGGGAGCAAACAGG